rnacentral:rRNA from 1 species
CGGGUGAGUAACACGUAUGCAACCUGCCUGUAAGAGGGGAAUAACCCGUUGAAAGACGGACUAAUACCGCAUAAUACUAAAUUACUGCAUGGUAAUUUAUUUAAACAUUUAUGGCUUACAGAUGGGCAUGCGCAUGAUUAGCUAGUUGGAGAGGUAACGGCUCCCCAAGGCAACGAUCAUUAGGGGUUCUGAGAGGAAGGUCCCCCACACUGGUACUGAGACACGGACCAGACUCCUACGGGAGGCAGCAGUGAGGAAUAUUGGUCAAUGGACGAGAGUCUGAACCAGCCAAGUCGCGUGCAGGAAGAAUGUCCUAUGGAUUGUAAACUGCUUUUGCAGGGGAAUAAAGUGCAUCACGUGUGAUGUUUUGUAUGUACUCUGCGAAUAAGGAUCGGCUAACUCCGUGCCAGCAGCCGCGGUAAUACGGAGGAUCCGAGCGUUAUCCGGAUUUAUUGGGUUUAAAGGGUGCGUAGGCGGGAUAAUAAGUCAGUGGUGAAAGUUUGCAGCUUAACUGUAAAAUUGCCGUUGAAACUGUUAUUCUUGAGAGUAGAUAAGGUAGGCGGAAUGUGUUGUGUAGCGGUGAAAUGCAUAGAUAUAACACAGAACCCCGAUUGCGAAGGCAGCUUACCGGGCUACAUCUGACGCUGAUGCACGAAAGCGUGGGGAUCAAACAGGAUUAGAUACCCUGGUAGUCCACGCAGUAAACGAUGAAUACUAGCUGUAUG